AUUGAACGCUGGCGGCAUGCCUUACACAUGCAAGUCGAACGGUAACAGGUUAAGCUGACGAGUGGCGAACGGGUGAGUAAUAUAUCGGAACGUGCCCAGUCGUGGGGGAUAACUGCUCGAAAGAGCAGCUAAUACCGCAUACGACCUGAGGGUGAAAGCGGGGGAUCGCAAGACCUCGCGCGAUUGGAGCGGCCGAUAUCAGAUUAGGUAGUUGGUGGGGUAAAGGCCCACCAAGCCAACGAUCUGUAGCUGGUCUGAGAGGACGACCAGCCACACUGGGACUGAGACACGGCCCAGACUCCUACGGGAGGCAGCAGUGGGGAAUUUUGGACAAUGGGCGCAAGCCUGAUCCAGCCAUUCCGCGUGAGUGAAGAAGGCCUUCGGGUUGUAAAGCUCUUUUGUCCGGAACGAAACGGAUGACGUGAAUAUCGUCGUCUACUGACGGUACCGGAAGAAUAAGCACCGGCUAACUACGUGCCAGCCGCCGCCGUAACAC
rnacentral:rRNA from 1 species